GUAGGGUGCAAGCGUUGCCCGGAUUUAUUGGGCGUAAAGGGCGCGUAGGCGGCUCGGCACGUCCGUUGUGAAAUCGCCCGGCUCAACUGGGCGGGGUCAGCGGAUACGGUCGAGCUUGAGCAAGCUAGGGGGCAAUGGAAUUCCCGGUGUAGUGGUGGAAUGCGUAGAUAUCGGGAGGAACACCAGUGGCGAAGGCGGUUGCCUGGGGCUUUGCUGACGCUGAUGCGCGAAAGCGUGGGGAGCGAUCCGGAUUAGAUACCCGGGUAGUCCACGCCGUAAACGAUGCGGACUAGGUGUCGGGGGUAUCGACCCCCUCGGCGCCGCAGCUAACGCAUUAAGUCCGCCGCCUGGGGACUACGGCCGCAAGGCUA
rnacentral:rRNA from 1 species